rnacentral:rRNA from 1 species
GAUGAACGCUGGCGGCGUGCUUAAUACAUGCAAGUCGAGCGAAGCGGGGACGGGUGAGUAACACGUGGAUAACCUCCUAUAAGACUGGGAUAACUUCGGGCAACCGGAGCUAAACCGGAUACUUAGAGAUGGAUCCGCGCUGCAUUAGCUAGUUGGUAAGGUAACGGGUUACCAAGGCCACGAUGCAUAGCCGACCUGAGAGGGUGGUCGGCCACACUGGAACUGGGACACGGUCCAGACUCCUACGGGAGGCAGCAGUAGGGAAUCUUCCGCAAUGGGCGAUAGCCUGACGGAGCGCCGCCGCGUGAGUGAUGAAGGUCUUCGGAUCGUAAGACUCUGUUAUUAGGGAAACGGUACCUACUCAGAAAGCCACGGCUAACUACGUGCCAGCAGCCGCGGUAAUUC